rnacentral:rRNA from 1 species
UACAGAGGUCCCAAGCGUUGUUCGGAUUCAUUGGGCGUAAAGGGUGCGUAGGUGGCGUCGUAAGUCGGGUGUGAAAUCUCGGGGCUUAACUCCGAAACUGCAUUCGAUACUGCGGUGCUUGAGGACUGGAGAGGAGACUGGAAUUUACGGUGUAGUGGUGAAAUGCGUAGAUAUCGGGAGGAACACCAGCGGCGAAGGCGACUACCUGGCCUGUUUCUUGACGCUGAGGCGCGAAAGCUAGGGUAGCAAACGGG